AGAUGCUGUUGCCAGGAUGGUUGCUAGGGGCUGUUGUCAGGUACUGUUGCCAGACUGGUUGCCAGGUAACCGUUGCCAGGGUGGUUGCCAGGUAACCGUUGCUAGGCACCAUUGCCAGGAUGGUUGCUAGGGGCUGUUGUCAGGUACCGUUGCCAAGGUGAUUGCCAGGUAACUGUUGCUAGGGGCUGUUGCCAGGGUGGUUGCCAGGGUGGUUGCCAGGUAACCAUUGCCAGGGUGGUUGCCAGGUACCGUUGCCAGGCACCAUUGCUAGGUGCUGUUGCCAGGGUGGUUGCCAGGGAACCGUUGCCGGGUGCUGUUGCCAGGUACCGUUGCCAGGGCACCAUUGCUAGAUGCUGUUGCCAGGUAACCGUUGCCAGGUGCUGUUGCCAGGGUGGUUGUCAGGUAACCGUUGCCAGGUACCGUUGCCAGGGAACCAUUGCUAGAUGCUGUUGUCAGGUAACCAUGGCCAGGGUGGUUGCUAGGUACCGUUGCCAAGGUGGUUGCCAGGUAACUGUUGCCAGGCACCAUUGCUAGAUGCCGUUGCCAGGGUGGUUGCCAGGUAACCAUUGCCACGUACCAUUGCCAG
rnacentral:lncRNA from 1 species